UUAUACACAUACAUAAAUAUAAAGAUGAGAAUGAUUAAUAUCGAAGAAUACUGACAAUUUGAUAUGUUUUGCAGGGAUGAUAGGAGCGUUACCACCGGGUGCUAUGCAUCCGGCAUUUGCAGCUCCAAUGGGAUUCCCCGGUGCACCGAUGUUGGCGCCAAUGAUGCAUCCACGCUUUAGAUGAUCGCCUCCCGUGGACGGGCCCACUCCACCAUUGCACUUUGUGCUAUGGGCUCGCCCCUAAAAUCAUAUUAGGGUUCGGACCGAACUUUUUGACCGACAGAAGAUUAAAUGAAGAUGAAAAUGAAGACGAAGAUGAAAAUAGGAGAAGCAGCACACCCGCUAAAUACGUUACGUCUCUUGCGUGGAAUACAGUUCAUCAUCGAACCGGGCCCGUGCCUGCACUUGACGUAUCCUGUCCCACGAAGCUUACACGAAAAAACGAAGUUGGCACGGUUUACGUAUCGCAAAAGCGUGGCGAAGACUGUGCAAGAGGAGCUGCUGCCGAAAUUCAUGUAUAAAUGAAAGAGAGAGAUAGAGAAAUAUUCAAUUAAAAUAAAAUAUAAUAAAAUAAAAUAAAAAAUAGAAGAUUUGAUAUAUAUCUUGAAAUUUAAGAAAGGAUUGUGUAUCUAAAUAUAUUUGUGCGUGUUAUAAUGGGUCAUAUUUGUUUUUUUUCUUUUCUUUUUUUUUCAAUUAUUAUUAUUAAUAUGCAUUCUUUAUAUCUUGUUGUUGUGUUAAGUUAAUCGUCAGUAGGCACCCUGUUUGUCUCUCUUUUUCAAUUUUGAGUUUCUCAGCUAUAGUACACUCCGACUAAAACGAAUUCUUGAAAGUGCAUAUCGCGUCGUGUAUACAACACGUGUACGUACCUAAAUCUACGCAUCGUUAUUAUAUAAUUUAUUUUUCAGGGAUUGUCUUGCCGAAUUAUCGGAUUCCUUUUAACUUUCUUUUUCUUUUUCUUCUAUUUCUUGUCCUCUUUCCUCUUUUUCCCCUUUUUGUUUCUUCCAUCUUUCAUCUUCCCAAUUCAAAAAUUGCCGCGUGAGAAUCACGUGGUAUCUAGCGUAUACGCGCGGGAAUACUCUCCUCAUUUGAAUUCAAUUUGCGAGCGGCUUUGCUCUCGUAUUCGGCGCAUCAGUAGUUUUUCUCUUUUUUUUUGUUUUGUUUUUAAAUUCGGCAGGACAAUCUGAUGGCAGAAUUUUUGGACAUGUAGAAGUUCUGUUAUUUAUUGAGUGUCAUAUUAUAGACUGUUCCGAAUAAAGACGUUCUGUGGAAAGCUCUACAAAAUUGGGCAUAAUCUGCUUUUCUGGGAUAGAUACGUUAUGUUAUUUGUUAAUUAAUAUUUUAUUAUUAUUAUUAUUAUUAUUUCUUUUCUUAUUUUUUAUAAUUUUAAUUUCAAAUACAAUUUGUAUGUAAUGUAUGUAUGCACUUGAACGCGCGAUUUAUACGUAUAUAUAUAUAUGUAUAACGUAUAUACCUACAUUUUUAACGCAGAAUAUGUUUGAAAUAUAUUUGCACACCUCUCUCUCCUCUUCAAUUUUGUUUUUUUAAUGAGGAAGGGUAGAAAAAAAAAAAAAAAAAAAAUUCGUUUCGUUUCAUCCCAGAAUGGCGGGCGAUAGCCACAUAUUGUUUCAACCAAUCACAGCUCUCACCGCUGUUGGACCUUACCGGUCCCUUGCCUCAAGGCAGGCGAUUGUUUGGACCUACCGUCCUGGUCUCGAGGUACCCAUCAUCUUCCCAAUUUUAUUAGCCAACAAAUUCUUUUGACAUCUUAACGAUAGAGAAAAAAGAAACAGAUUUGUAUAUAUAGAUAUUACACAACAGAGAGAUAAUUAUACAAACAAUGAAAAUGUACAGUAGCAACGUGAGAAUAAUUUAGAUAUAAUAUCAUAAUAUCUAUUGUAUUUUCAUGUUGCGCAUCACCCGAA
rnacentral:lncRNA from 1 species